ACAUUUAUUAAAUAUCCUAAUUCAACUAAGACUUAAUCCUGGUUUAGGCUAAACCCUGUCUGUGAAACUGGGCCACUGUGUAUGAUAAGUUAAUUAAAUGUGUUCAUGCUGUCUAAACAUAAUAUUUAAAUGCAUACAUUAAAGCAUAAUCUUUGACAACCCUAAUAAUAACAUGUUGCAAAAUAAACCGGUCUAGUUUUAUUGUUAAUGCAUCUGUUAUUGUUUUUGCAGACACAGUUCAGACUCAAGCAGAAGAGAUCACUUAUGCUGAACCAGCUUUCCACAAGAGAAAAGCACAGAACUCGGAUAAUAAAGAGGAGGAUCAGGUGGAGGAUCAGGUGGAGAAUCAGGUGGAGGAUCAGGUGGAGAUUCAGGUGAAGGAUCAGGUGAAGGAUCGGGUGGAGGAUCAGGUGGAGUAUGCACCGGUUGCCAUAAGAAGAUGAUCAAUCAGAUCUGUCAUCACUUUCAUGUCCAUGGCGUCAUAUAAUCCUGCAGAUAAGCUCUGCUAGUUUAAGUAGUUAUUUUCAGCUCUGGCAAGAGGAGUUUUUAAGAGGAACUGUUCUUGAUCUCACACUUCUUUUUUAGAACAGGGCUCCAGACUGUAACACUUGAGAGUAGUGGCAACAUUUACAGAUGGAGACAGUAGCAGAAGCUUGAGCUUAAAAUGCAGAUGUAAAUUUAUUUUCAAUAAUAAAAACUUUAACCGUAAACCUCAGAAAAAAAAAAAAUGUUCAUUUGUUAAAUUUGUUCUCUUUGUUUGUCGCUGAACAUUUGUUAUUCUUCCUGGUGUCACUGGUAUAGCAGAGAUAAGGAAAAGUGAGGAUCUUAGCAGCUUUACAAAGUUGUGUAAGGACAAUAGCUCCAUCCACCUAUUUUUUAUGUGCAUUUUGGAAUAUCACAUAAAAAAAAAAUCCCUGGAUGUAAACACCAAGAUGGACAUAAAUUCUUGAUGGAAACACAUUUACCCAAAUAAAUUCCUCGAUGUGCAUCAAAAAAAGUUGUGAAUUGCAUGAUGGGACGGCAUAAUUGGACUAACCUGUGGAUGGAUCUUGUUGCACAACAUCUGAAAUGUUUUGGUCAUUUUGAAAUGACUGAGCAAAGUCUGUCAUCAAAGUGUUUGUUUCUGUAUAUUUACUUCCCAGAACUGUCUUACACAACUGUGUUCCCAAAAAACAGACAUCUGCCCCUGGGAGUAAAAAAACAUGGCCAUGUUUAUUGUGUUUCUUCUGUGCACUCUGAGAUGCAAGAAAUUAUAUACAAAAAUUAUAAUACACACUGGUACUCAUACUUAAUUUUCUUAGAGAUCUUUAAUGCCAGUUCAUCAGGAAGUGACAAUUUUGUUCUUCUAGACUCAAUGGAUGGAAAUGGAUGUUUUAUUUGCAAAUAUUUUGUGAGAUAUUACAAUAUUAUGCACGAGUUAAAUAAGCACUUUGGAUGGAAACAUGUCAACUAAUGACCACCAAUCAAUGACUGAAACACAAGGGAAUAAAUACACAGAUUCUUGGCUAGAACCUCCUCCUGUAUUUCACCCCUGUCACUUUUCCCCAUGACAUUCUGAUGAUGAUAAUUAAUAAUAGCAAUAGCUACCAAGCCUAUCGCUGUGUUCAUGACUAGUAUGUGAAUUUGUAUUUAAUUGCAUAAAGACAUCCAGUUUUUGUACAGAUUUGAUUGAUUAGUUCUGUUUACUGCUAAAAGAAUGAAACAAAAUUAUAUGUUUUUUUCUGAAUUAUUGUGAUGAGAUUUCAGAAGCCGGAUUUGUAAAAUUCUUGUAAAAAUAAAUUUUUUUCUUGACA